GAUAACGGCGUCGAGCGGCGGACGGGUGAGUAAUGCCUAGGAAAUUGCCCUGAUGUGGGGGAUAACCAUUGGAAACGAUGGCUAAUACCGCAUAAUGCCUACGGGCCAAAGAGGGGGACCUUCGGGCCUCUCGCGUCAGGAUAUGCCUAGGUGGGAUUAGCUAGUUGGUGAGGUAAUGGCUCACCAAGGCGACGAUCCCUAGCUGGUCUGAGAGGAUGAUCAGCCACACUGGAACUGAGACACGGUCCAGACUCCUACGGGAGGCAGCAGUGGGGAAUAUUGCACAAUGGGCGCAAGCCUGAUGCAGCCAUGCCGCGUGUGUGAAGAAGGCCUUCGGGUUGUAAAGCACUUUCAGUCGUGAGGAAGGUGGUGUAGUUAAUAGCUGCAUUAUUUGACGUUAGCGACAGAAGAAGCACCGGCUAACUCCGUGCCAGCAGCCGCGGUAAUACGGAGGGUGCGAGCGUUAAUCGGAAUUACUGGGCGUAAAGCGCAUGCAGGUG
rnacentral:rRNA from 1 species